CCCUUAGAUGUCCUGGGCCGCACGCGCGCUACACUGAUGCAUUCAACGAGUCUACCUUGGCCGAGAGGCCUGGGCAACCUUUUAAACGUGCAUCGUGCUAGGGAUAGAUUAUUGCAAUUAUUAAUCUUGAACGAGGAAUUCCUAGUAAACGCAAAUCAUCAAUUUGCAUUGAUUACGUCCCUGCACUUUGUACACACCGCCCGUCGCACCUACCGAUUGAAUGGUCCGGUGAGGACUCGGGAUUUUUACCAGUUUCCUUCAUUGGGAAUUGGUGAGGAGAACUUGUCCAAACCUUAUCAUUUAGAGGAAGGUGAAGUCGUAACA
rnacentral:rRNA from 1 species